rnacentral:rRNA from 1 species
AGUGAACGCUGGCGGUAGGCCUAACACAUGCAAGUCGAACGGCAGCACAGUAAGAGCUUGCUCUUACGGGUGGCGAGUGGCGGACGGGUGAGGAAUACAUCGGAAUCUACUUUUUCGUGGGGGAUAACGUAGGGAAACUUACGCUAAUACCGCAUACGACCUACGGGUGAAAGCAGGGGAUCUUCGGACCUUGCGCGAUUGAAUGAGCCGAUGUCGGAUUAGCUAGUUGGCGGGGUAAAGGCCCACCAAGGCGACGAUCCGUAGCUGGUCUGAGAGGAUGACCAGCACCACUGGAACUGAGACAGCGUCCAGCCUCCUGCGGGAGGCAGCAGUGGGGAAUAUUGGGCAAUGGGCGCAAGCCUGAUCCAGCCAGACCGCGUGGGUGAAGCAGGCCUUCGGGUUGUAAAGCCCUUUUGUUGGGAAAGAAAAGCAGCAGGUUAAUACCCCGCUGUUCUGACGGUACCCAAAGAAUAAGCACCGGCUAACUUCGUG